rnacentral:rRNA from 1 species
UACGUAGGGUGCGAGCGUUGUCCGGAAUUACUGGGCGUAAAGAGCUCGUAGGUGGUUUGUCGCGUUGUUCGUGAAAUCUCACGUCUUAACUGUAAGCGUGCGGGCGAUACGGGCAGACUAGAGUACUGCGGGGGAGACUGGAAUUCCUGGUGUAGCGGUGGAAUGCGCAGAUAUCAGGAGGAACACCGGUGGCGAAGGCGGGUCUCUGGGCAGUAACUGACGCUGAGGAGCGAAAGCGUGGGGAGCGAACAGG